rnacentral:rRNA from 1 species
CACGAACGCUGGCGGCGUGCCUAAUACAUGCAAGUCGAGCGCAGGAAGUCGACGGAACCCUUCGGGGGGAAGUCGACGGAAUGAGCGGCGGACGGGUGAGUAACACGUAAAGAACCUGCCCUCAGGUCUGGGAUAACCACGAGAAAUCGGGGCUAAUACCGGAUGGGUCAUCGGACCGCAUGGUCCGAGGCUGAAAGGCGCUCCGGCGUCGCCUGGGGAUGGCUUUGCGGUGCAUUAGCUAGUUGGUGGGGUAAUGGCCCACCAAGGCGACGAUGCAUAGCCGACCUGAGAGGGUGAUCGGCCACACUGGGACUGAGACACGGCCCAGACUCCUACGGGAGGCAGCAGUAGGGAAUCUUCCACAAUGGACGAAAGUCUGAUGGAGCAACGCCGCGUGAACGAUGAAGGCCUUCGGGUCGUAAAGUUCUGUUGUAAGGGAAGAACAAGUGCCGCAGGCAAUGGCGGCACCUUGACGGUACCUUGCGAGAAAGCCACGGCUAACUACGUGCCAGCAGCCGCCGUAAUAC